CGGGAUGUAGCGCAGCUUGGUAGCGCAUCCGCUUUGGGAGCGGAGGGUCGCAGGUUCAAAUCCUGUCAUCCCGACCA
rnacentral:tRNA from 26 species